UACGUAGGGGGCAAGCGUUGUCCGGAUUUAUUGGGCGUAAAGAGCGUGUAGGCGGCCAGAUAGGUCCGUUGUGAAAACUCGAGGCUCAACCUCGAGACGCCGAUGGAAACCAUUUGGCUAGAGUCCGGAAGAGGAGAGUGGAAUUCCUGGUGUAGCGGUGAAAUGCGCAGAUAUCAGGAGGAACACCGAUGGCGAAGGCAGGUCUCUGGGCUGACACUGACGCUCAUGCACGAAAGCGUGGGGAGCAAACAGG
rnacentral:rRNA from 1 species